GGCCGAUGCCGCUCUUUGGAAUUAAAGUUUCGUCUUUACCGUACCUUUGUGUUUCCUGUGAGUACUCUCUGCUCUGGUCUGAAAAAAAGGCAACUAUGAGAAUUAUGGCCUCUGAGGCUAAAUUUAAACUGGAGAAACUGACAUCUACAGAUCAUUCAUUUGGAAAAGGCAGGGUGGGUGUCCAACACCUCGACAAGUUGCGCUUGCCUGUGGUUUUCCUACAACUGCAACUCCACUUCCGCUAUGCCCAACUCGUCUCUCCUUCAUCCAGAGUCAGGCACCUACCUGGGUUUUGGAGUACACAGAACCCGAGAUAUCUGGCACGCCCGUGUUACUGGAGGUGACUGACACACCUGGGGAGGAGGAAACAGAGGGUUAGCUCUGUUAGCUGCCUGACCUCUACACCUGUGAGGGUGAUUCUGUCUGCAGUCUUUCUAGCUAUGCCACUGCAAGGGAAUUUUGUAUGUUUUUCCACCUUCAGGUCAGUUAUGAGAUUCAAGAAUUCCUAACACUAAGGUUGCCUAAGGGUGGUGGCUUUUGUCUUUUCUAUGUAUUAUGUGUGGGAUAUCUAUGAAGGUGAGCUGCUUUUUGAGGGGGCCAAGAGGAUAAAAUGUUCAUUGCAAAGCAAUCUACCCAAUCUCCACU